rnacentral:rRNA from 1 species
UGGGGAAUUUUGGACAAUGGGGGAAACCCUGAUCCAGCCAUCCCGCGUGUGCGAUGAAGGCCUUCGGGUUGUAAAGCACUUUUGGCAGGAAAGAAACGUCGCGGGUUAAUACCCCGCGAAACUGACGGUACCUGCAGAAUAAGCACCGGCUAACUACGUGCCAGCAGCCGCGGUAAUACGUAGGGUGCAAGCGUUAAUCGGAAUUACUGGGCGUAAAGCGUGCGCAGGCGGUUCGGAAAGAAAGAUGUGAAAUCCCAGAGCUUAACUUUGGAACUGCAUUUUUAACUACCGGGCUAGAGUGUGUCAGAGGGAGGUGGAAUUCCGCGUGUAGCAGUGAAAUGCGUAGAUAUGCGGAGGAACACCGAUGGCUAGGCAAGGCC